rnacentral:ncRNA from 2 species
GUAAUUACACAGGGGAGUUGGUAAUGGCCAGCUGAGAGUAAGAAAUCCAUUCUUAGACCCUUUAACCUGAUCUGGAUAAUGCCGGCGUAGGGAGUUAGAUGUAGAUAUUG